rnacentral:rRNA from 1 species
GUGGGGAAUCUUGCGCAAUGGGCGAAAGCCUGACGCAGCCAUGCCGCGUGAAUGAUGAAGGUCUUAGGAUUGUAAAAUUCUUUCACCGGGGAAGAUAAUGACGGUACCCGGAGAAGAAGCCCCGGCUAACUUCGUGCCAGCAGCCGCGGUAAUACGAAGGGGGCUAGCGUUGCUCGGAAUUACUGGGCGUCAAGGGCGCGUAGGCGGACAUUUAAGUCAGAGGUGAAAGCCCAGGGCUCAACCUUGGAAUUGCCUUUGAUACUGGAUGUCUUGAGUUCGGGAGAGGUGAGUGGAAUGCCGAGUGUAGAGGUGAAAUUCGUAGAUAUUCGGCGGAACACCAGUGGCGAAGGCGACUCACUGGCCCGAUACUGACGCUGAGGCGCGAAAGCGUGGGGAGCAAACAGGAUUAGAAACCCGAGUAGUCC